ensembl:lncRNA
UGCCCCUCUGUUGGUCUUCCAUGGUCUCUUGUGUUCUGGGGGCCUCUGGAUGUCUGGAGUUCUGAUCUCCUCCAUACCCACUUCACACCCUGGAGGACGGGGCUGUGGCCCCCCCACACUCCCUAGCAGAUCAUUACAUGGAGAAACCUUUGGAAUGCAAGCAUGCUGAUCCACACAGGUAUGCACACAUGGGUAUUCACAGACGCGGACUAAAGCUUUCUUGGCUGCUGCCUCAAAGCACACUGUGCGCUGUCUAUCUUGCGUGCUGCACAAUAUCGUUUAUUAUUUAGUAAAUAUUGAUAUCUAUGACCAGCUAGUUUAUUGUGAUGGUGCUUUGUUUUCUCUAUUAUUAUGUUGCUCUUUGUUGUUUGCUGUCUCCUCUGUUUGUUUUUUUUGUUUGUUUUUUUUUUUUUUUCUCCAUACAGGGGUGGGAUUUAAUAAGUUUUCUUCGUCCCACUCCUUUUUCAGGCAAGUUUUGUUUUUUGUUUUGUGUAUUUUAUGUUCAAUAUAGGUAUUUGUUGUGCCUGAAAAUGAAUAAAUAAAUGAAUGAAAUGAAUGAAUGAAUAGCCAUAGGCCUCCAUACAACCCUAACUUACUUAGAACAAAUGGACAUUUACAUCUGACUUUUCUUUACUGAUUUUAGCUAGGCUUUUAACACCAUCAACCCUGCCAGACUGGUAACCAAAUUACACAACCUUGGCUUCCCUCACUCCAACUGUCAAGGAUCAAGGUCUUCAUCAGUGACCGCCCACAGAGAGUCAAAGUAGGGCCCCACCUGUCCUCAGCACUCAGCCUCAACACCGGCUUCCCUCAGGGAUAUGUGCUGAGUCAAGUUCCUGGGCCUGCACCUGGGUGGUGACCUAUCCAAGAAAACACACACCACAGCUGCGACCGUGGCUCAGGGGGCUGGGAAGCGUAUCUGUAGCUGGAAGGUCGCCGGUUCAAUCCCCGGGCUCUCUGUCCUGGUUGUUGUGUCCUUGGGCAAGUCACUUUAUCCUACCGCCUACUGGUGUUGGCCAGAGGGGGCUUCUGCCCAGGGCAGCUGUGGCUACAACUGUAGCUUGCCACAUUCAUGCACAGAGGAUCGUCGGUUGUGCUCUUCUUUCCCUAGAGGAGCAGUACAG